UUUCCGUAGGUGAACCUGCGGAAGGAUCAUUCAUAAUAAGUGUUUUAUGGCACUUUUUUAAAUCCAUAUCCACCUUGUGUGCAAUGUCAGGGUUGGUCUCUCUUUUGAGAGAUCAGCCCCAAACAUCAACUCUAUUUUAACUCUUUGUCUGAAAAAUAUUAUGAAUAAAACAAUUCAAAAUACAACUUUCAACAACGGAUCUCUUGGCUCUCGCAUCGAUGAAGAGCGCAGC
rnacentral:misc_RNA from 1 species